rnacentral:misc_RNA from 1 species
GAGUAUCAUGCCCUUACGGGUAGAUCUCCACCCUUGAAUAACAUACCUUUGUUGCUUUGGCAGGACGCACUCGUGCCAGGGGCUUCGGCUCUUGAGUGCCUGCCAGAGGCCCGAAACUCUUUGUCAUCAGUGGCCUCUCUGAGUAACUUAUACAAUAAGUCAAAACUUUCAACAACGGAUCUCUUGGUUCU